AAUAGAUACCCGGGUAGUCCACGCCGUAAACGAUGAAUGCUAGGUGUUAGGGGUUUCGAUACCCUUGGUGCCGAAGUUAACACAUUAAGCAUUCCGCCUGGGGAGUACGGCCGCAAGGCUGAAACUCAAAGGAAUUGACGGGGACCCGCACAAGCAGUGGAGUAUGUGGUUUAAUUCGAAGCAACGCGAAGAACCUUACCAGGUCUUGACAUCCCCCUGACCGGUACAGAGAUGUGCCUUUCCUUCGGGACAGGGGAGACAGGUGGUGCAUGGUUGUCGUCAGCUCGUGUCGUGAGAUGUUGGGUUAAGUCCCGCAACGAGCGCAACCCUUGACUUUAGUUGCCAGCAAGUAAGGUUGGGCACUCUAGAGUGACUGCCGGUGACAAACCGGAGGAAGGUGGGGAUGACGUCAAAUCAUCAUGCCCCUUAUGACCUGGGCUACACACGUACUACAAUGGCCGGUACAACGGGAAGCGAAGGAGCGAUCUGGAGCGAAUCCUAUAAAGCCGGUCUCAGUUCGGAUUGCAGGCUGCAACUCGCCUAC
rnacentral:rRNA from 1 species